AAGACCUUGCGCUUUUGGAGCGGCCGAUGCCUGAUUAGCUUGUUGGUAAGGUAAAAGCUUACCAAGGCUUCGAUCAGUAGCUGGUCUGAGAGGACGACCAGCCACACUGGGACUGAGACACGGCCCAGGCUCCUACGGGAGGCAGCAGUGGGGAAUUUUGGACAAUGGGGGCAACCCUGACCCAGCCAUGCCGCGUGAGUGAAGAAGGCCUUCGGGUUGUAAAGCUCUUUCAGCCGGAACGAAACGGUUACGGAUAACACCCGUGACUACUGACGGUACCGGAAGAAGAAGCACCGGCUAACUACGUGCCAGCAGCCGCGGUAAUACGUAGGGUGCGAGCGUUAAUCGGAAUUACUGGGCGUAAAGCGUGCGCAGGUGGUUUUGUAAGUCAGAUGUGAAAUCCCCGGGCUUAACCUGGGAACU
rnacentral:rRNA from 1 species